rnacentral:rRNA from 1 species
CAGUAGCCGCGGGAACACGUAGGUGGCAAGCGUUGUCCGGAAUUAUUGGGCGUAAAGGGCUCGCAGGCGGUUUCUUAAGUCUGAUGUGAAAGCCCCCGGCUCAACCGGGGAGGGUCAUUGGAAACUGGGAAACUUGAGUGCAGAAGAGGAGAGUGGAAUUCCACGCGUAGCGGUGAAAUGCGUAGAGAUGUGGAGGAACACCAGUGGCGAAGGCGACUCUCUGGUCUGUAACUAACGCUGAGGAGCGAAAGCGUGGGGAGCGAACAGGAUUAGAGACCCCUGUAGUCCCUGUCUCUUAUAA